UAGAGUUUGAUCAUGGCUCAGAUUGAACGCUGGCGGCAGGCCUAACACAUGCAAGUCGAGCGGUAACAUUUCUAGCUUGCUAGAAGAUGACGAGCGGCGGACGGGUGAGUACAACUUGGGAAUCUGCCUGAUGGUGGGGGACAACCACUGGAAACGGUGGCUAAUACCGCAUAAUACCUACGGGUCAAAGUGUGGGACCUUCGGGCCACACGCCAUUAGAUGAGCCCAAGCAAGAUUAGGUAGUUGGUGAGGUAAAGGCUCACCAAGCCGACGAUCUUUAGCUGGUCUGAGAGGAUGAUCAGCCACACUGGGACUGAGACACGGCCCAGACUCCUACGGGAGGCAGCAGUGGGGAAUAUUGGACAAUGGGGGCAACCCUGAUCCAGCCAUGCCGCGUGUGUGAAGAAGGCCUUCGGGUUGUAAAGCACUUUCAGUGGUGAGGAAAGGGUGUGUUGUUAAUAGCAACAUACAUUGACCGUAGCCACAGAGA
rnacentral:rRNA from 1 species